rnacentral:lncRNA from 1 species
GGUUACCGCUGCGUUUACUCCACAAUAGUAGAUACAGUUCAAAUUCAUUUUCGAAACCAACAAAAUGUCCCCAUAUGUAUUUGUGAACUUAUGAUUGUGUUAUGUAGCGUUCAGUGAAGGAAACGCGUGGUAAUAACGCAGGAGACCCUUCCCCUGGGUGGCGCGGGGCUACUGCUUCCGGUGCAACGUCGCUCCGUUCCCCGCGGAGCUUCCUCGGCAUCUGGAGGGGAGGGAGGCGCUGGAGGAGCAGGAGAAACAAGCAGCCACCGAGAAGACGAAGGAAAACACGUCGCAGCGAAUACGUGAACGUACGUGAACACAGGCGAGGAAGCCGCCGGCCUAAUAAAACCCCUUUUGAUUGGUUGAGGCCCAAGACUUCUAUCAUCAUCAUCGUCAUCAUGGAUGUUCCCCAACCUGGAGGUCCUCGUAGCCCAUAGCUCUCUACGGUACGUCUCUGCAUCACCCAGGAUCCUUACCGUAACUCUAGCCUCCUUCUGAACCUGCACACAUUCAUCCUAAGUAAACUGAAACCAACUUCAUCUACCCAGCUUUAUCUUCCUCAAUCUUAAUGGCCCCCAUUACAAGCCGUUGGAAACUCUGCCUUUUCCUGUGUGGGUGUCUGAAUGAAUCACGAGUGGACGUGUCUACCUAGAUGUAUGCUGGAUAGAUCAGACUACCAGCCUACACGGUUGACUGUAGCAAAUGUUGCUCAUCUAUCCGUCAUACAUCUAGAAGGACUCGCCCACUUGUAAUGUCACUAAGGCAAAGGAAAAGGCAGAUUUUCACGUGGCUUGUAAUGGCAAAUCACACUCACACCUGGUGGUAUAAUUGGGGCCCUUCAUAGUGCCUUUGAUUAUUGAAAGGCUCUAUUUACAUUUUAUGUAGUAUAAUAACUUAUCUCCAUACUCAGAAAAAAAUAUAAACGUAUAUAUUUUAUCGCUGUUCCUCUUCAAACAUACAGGAAAGCUAUAAAUGUGGUUUGAAGCCGUCUUCCCGUAGCCACCUGUUUUGAGAUGUAAAUAGAUCACGUAACAUGUGGCGCUGUGAUCCAGCGUUCUUGUAAGACUCGACGGUGUAUCUCUCUGCUCUCAGAGACACAGCCACAGACAGACAGGUAUGAGGAGAGAAACCAGACCCGCACUCCUGUUCCCGUGGGAGGGUGUUGACCGCUCUGCGGCUGGCAGUGUCCUCAUGGCCUCCAGCUGCGGUCCACGUUCCACACCAGAGGCUUCGGCCGCCAGGGGCCAUCCUUGACGAGCCGAGGAUUCUCUACAUUCUUCCGCCACUGAAUCUGACCCCUCUUCUUCUUCUUCUUCUUCUUCUUCUUCUUCUUCUACU